GAAAACUUAGUUAAAAAUAUAACAUUAGCUUGUCAAGCUAAAAUUAUUAUAAAAAUAGUUUUCU
rnacentral:tRNA from 2 species